rnacentral:hammerhead_ribozyme from 1 species
AUCCAGUUGAUGAGUCCCAAAUAGGACGAAACGCGCGUCGACCUGGAU